rnacentral:rRNA from 1 species
AACGAACGCUGGCGGCAGGCUUAACACAUGCAAGUCGAGCGAGACCUUCGGGUCUAGCGGCGGACGGGUGAGUAACGCGUGGGAACGUGCCCUUCUCUACGGAAUAGCCCCGGGAAACUGGGAGUAAUACCGUAUACGCCCUUUGGGGGAAGGAUUUAUCGGAGAAGGAUCGGCCCGCGUUGGAUUAGGUAGUUGGUGGGGUAAUGGCCCACCAAGCCGACGAUCCAUAGCUGGUUUGAGAGGAUGAUCAGCCACACUGGGACUGAGACACGGCCCAGACUCCUACGGGAGGCAGCAGUGGGGAAUCUUAGACAAUGGGGGCAACCCUGAUCUAGCCAUGCCGCGUGAGUGAUGAAGGCCUUAGGGUUGUAAAGCUCCUUCAGCUGGGAAGAUAAUGACGGUACCAGCAGAAGAAGCCCCGGCUAACUCCGUG